rnacentral:rRNA from 1 species
CCUACGGGGCGCAGCAGUGAGGAAUAUUGGUCAAUGGACGAGAGUCUGAACCAGCCAAGUAGCGUGAAGGAUGACUGCCCUAUGGGUUGUAAACUUCUUUUAUAUGGGAAUAAAAUGUUCCACGUGUGGGAUUUUGUAUGUACCAUAUGAAUAAGGAUCGGCUAACUCCGUGCCAGCAGCCGCGGUAAUACGGAGGAUCCGAGCGUUAUCCGGAUUUAUUGGGUUUAAAGGGAGCGUAGGUGGAUUGUUAAGUCAGUUGUGAAAGUUUGCUGCUCAACCGUAAAAUUGCAGUUGAAACUGGCAGUCUUGAGUACAGUAGAGGUGGGCGGAAUUCGUGGUGUAGCGGUGAAAUGCUUAGAUAUCACGAAGAACUCCGAUUGCGAAGGCAGUUCACUGGACUGCAACUGACACUGAGGCUCGAAAGUGUGGGUAUCAAACAGGAUUAGAUACCCGAGUAGUC